UAGUGAAAUGAAAGUGAAGUCACUCAGUCGUGUCCAACUCUUAGCGACCCCAUGGACUGCAGCCCACCAGGCUCCUCUGUUUAUGGGAUUUUCCAGGCAAGAGCACUGGAGUGGGGUGCCAUUGCCUUCUCCAAAUCUGCAUAGUAGGAUAGCACAUAAUGGAAUAUAUGCCAACUCUUCACAUGGUCAUAAGAUGUUUCCAUGCUGCCCUUUUGCUACUAAUCAACAACAGAGAAUCCCCUGUGCAGUUUUUGCUGGAACGUCUGUGGAUUACUUGCCUCGUAACAGUAACCUAAAUAGCAGUCCAUUUGUUGACUCCUCUGUGGUAUAACUGCUAUCAUCAUACCAAGAUCACUCUGGCAAAACCUUCAGCUGUCUUUACAUCAAUUUCCCUGGAACUUCUGAUUUUCCAGAAAUUUUCCAAAGUAUAUAUUUGUCAUUAAGUUCUAGAAAAUUGUUGAAUUUUGUGUCCCUUGAUUAAAACAGUGAUUUUUUUGCACUCC
rnacentral:lncRNA from 1 species